CCCUUAGAUGUUCUGGGCUGCACGCGCGCUACACUGACACACUCAGCGAGUUCCUGUACCGAGAGGUUCGGGUAAUCAUGUGAGCGUGUGUCGUGAUGGGGAUAGAAUAUUGUAAUUAUUGCUCUUCAACGAGGAAUUCCUAGUAAGCGCAAGUCAGCAGCUUGCGCUGAUUACGUCCCUGCCCUUUGUACACACCGCCCGUCGCUCCUACCGAUUGGGUGAUCCGGUGAAUGACUCGGACUUUGACGUUCCUAGACACUAGGUUCGUCGAGGGAAGUUUUGUGAACCUUAUCACUUAGAGGAAGGUGAAGUCGUAACA
rnacentral:rRNA from 1 species